GACGAACGCUGGCGGCGUGCCUAAUACAUGCAAGUCGAGCGAAGUUUUUCUGGUGCUUGCACCGGAAAAACUUAGCGGCGAACGGGUGAGUAACACGUAAAGAACCUGCCUCAUAGACUGGGACAACUAUUGGAAACGAUAGCUAAUACCGGAUAAUAGCAUUAACUGCAUGGUUGAUGUUUAAAAGUUGGUUUUGCUAACACUAUGAGAUGGCUUUGCGGUGCAUUAGCUAGUUGGUGGGGUAAGGGCCUACCAAGGCGACGAUGCAUAGCCGACCUGAGAGGGUGAUCGGCCACACUGGGACUGAGACACGGCCCAGACUCCUACGGGAGGCAGCAGUGGGGAAUCUUCCGCAAUGGGCGAAAGCCUGACGGAGCAACGCCGCGUGAGUGAAGAAGGAUUUCGGUUCGUAAAGCUCUGUUGUUAGGGAAGAAUGAUUGUGUAGUAACUAUACACAGUAGAGACGGUACCUAACCAGAAAGCCACGGCUAACUACGUG
rnacentral:rRNA from 1 species